UAACAAGGAUUCCCCUAGUAACUGCGAGUGAAGCGGGAAAAGCUCAAAUUUAAAAUCUGGCAGUGGUUCACUGCCCGAGUUGUAAUCUAGAGAAGUGUUGCUCACACUGGACCAUGUAUAAGUCUUCUGGAAUGAAGCGUCAUAGAGGGUGAGAAUCCCGUCUUUGACAUGGACUCCCAGUGUAUUUGUAGUAUGCUCUCAAAGAGUCGAGUUGUUUGGGAAUGCAGCUCUAAAUGGGUGGUAACCUCCAUCUAAAGCUAAAUAUUGGCGAGAGACCGAUAGUGAACAAGUACCGUGAGGGAAAGAUGAAAAGAACUUUGGAAAGAGAGUUAAAAAGUACGUGAAAUUGUUGAAAGGGAAACGCUUGAAGUCAGUCACAUUGGCCAGGGAUCAACUUGCUUUAAGUGUACUUCCUGGCUGAUGGGCCAACAUCAGCUUUGACUGUCAGAGAAGGGUAGGGGGAAUGUGGCACCCUCUUGGGUGUGUUAUAGCCCUCUGUCAUAUAUGGCCGUUGGGGCUGAGGAAUGCAGCGCGCCGCAAGGCCGGGUUUCGACCACGUUCGCGCUUAGGAUGUUGGCAUAAUGGCUUUAAUCGAC
rnacentral:rRNA from 1 species